UUAGAUAAGUAUUAAAUAAAAUGAUAAUAAAAAAAUUAAUUGUCAAUGUUUUGUUUGAUUCAACUUUUUGACGAUAUUAUCAGUGAGUGCGUAGAGCAAAACGGCAACAACGACGCGAUGCAGCAGUGUUAUAAGUAGUGAAAUUUAGAAGUGCUGCUAUAGCGAUAGCGUCUGUAUGUGUUUUCGAACAGCCUCCGCUCACUGGUAUUGCUGACUUCUGUAACCACAUCAAGAUGACCCUGGAGCUAGAUUUACUUUCCCUGUGGUGCUGAUUUGCGUCUCUGGGUACUUCAACAUUAUCUGGUCGUGCUGCUUAGUAUUUCUGGCUGAUCUAACCACCCAAAGACAACGCUCAAGCUAUAUUCGAACUUUCUGGCUGUCCUGGAGACGUUUCUAGUUGCCUGAACCACCUACAAACGACCAUGGAGCUGUAUUUUCGCUUUUUGACAGUCCUGGUUGGUGUUGCUGGCUGCUUGAACCACGUCGAGAUGAUCUUGGAGCUGGAUUCAUGCUUGCUGUGUACAAGCAAUUCUGCAUUUAUUGGCAUCGUAGUCUACUGCAUGCACCAGAGUAUAACUAAAGAUAUUGGUGUCGUUGGUAUCUGAGCUAUCGCAAUCUUGGAGUUGGAAGAAAGCUUUAUCAAGACUCCGGCAGUAUUUGCUUUAUUGAUAUAUAAGUUAUUUUAUCAGAUGAGAUCAGUGAGUUGAAUAAUUAUUUGUAAGUAUGAGUUUAUAAUAUGAUUUCUUCUCUUUUCUAGCGUGUAAGUCAUACUACAACUGAGGAUAUCAUGGUCUGCUGGAUGGGGAGCAGUAGAAUCAACGGUACCGGUCUUAUGCCUGAUCAUUGGUAACACUGGAUCUUCGUUAGUGUGAAACUUUCAGAUGCAGUGCUUACAAGAUGCAGGUUAUACGUAAAAAAUAUGAAAUAUAGUGACGAGCAGUUGCAGCAAAGAAUUGUAUUUUCAAGAGGAUAUUAUUACUUUUGAAAUGGAACAGAAGCUUUUUAUUAAUUAGUGCAGUCAAUAUUUGAUUUAGUAGUGCGGGUUAAUUUAGAAAAUUGAUUGUUUAGAAUAUAGUGUUUGUUUAGAGGGACGUGUCAGGCUUCUCAGAGGCUUUCUUCAAUCUGUUAUUUCCAUUAUUAUUUAAUUUAGGUUUUCUAGUUCGGUACAAUAUACUCAAAUUUUGAAAGUAAAUUGUGUUGAAAUAGUGGAUAAAUAAUAAUACUGAGGUUAAUAAUAUUAAUAAUAUAUAUUGAGGUAAAUAAUUGUGUGUCGGCAAUAGCCUCGGUUAAUACGUCCGCUCACAUCGGAGUCGAACAGCGUGUACAGUAUAAUCAGCGAUUAGAGUGUAGACGCGAGGCAUGCGCGGUGCGGUCGCUCUCGCGUGAGCUCGUCUCGUUGCACAAAAUCGUCGUCGACCAAUAGAUGGCACGACAAGUGCCAUUUUGAUCAUGAAUCGAGAUUAUAAGAUUUACUCAAUAUUACAACAAAUUGUAUUGAUUCACUUCAAAAAAUAUCUAUUAUCUUUUGUCAAAUUUCAUGCGCUUAUUACGAAAUUGUCUUAUUACGUUUAUGUUAACUACUUUAAUUUCAAGUCAUUUCAUAAAGCUGAUCCGGAGAUAAAUGGGUAGGAGGAUUUUUACUCCAACGUUGUGACGGUAUACGCUCACAUAUACCACACUAGUAGUUCCGAACUCGACCGAUAGGCGGCGAGCGUGCGAGCGAGCUCAUAUCACGGCACUAGUUCCGCGCUCGCCCGCCAAGUAGAUACGGCGCAAGCGGAGCAUGGCGCACAGACAAUCCACAGCGCAUUGAUCGAACUGAGGGCUCUUAUGGAAGCGGCCUCGCCAAGAGCGGCAUCGAGUGAUCACAGCAUUUUUGUAUGCUCUUACGCUUAUGUAAGAGGCAGCAGUGAUCUUUCGUCAUUGACUGGCAGGGUGCGACCUCCAGUCUUGGGUUAAGGGAUGCGACCCUUAGCCCCAAGGAACUACCUGAGUUGGCCGUCGGUUAAUUAGUCAUCUACAUUUCCGAUAACCGAUACCGUACCGUUUAUACCGACCCAUCAGGACAUCGAACCGACAACGGCCAGCUCCAGUAGGGAACCGCGAUUGCUUAUAUUAAUCUUUUGUAAAUAUAUUAGUAGUUCAAAUAGUCGUUCCUUUUCCAGGGAUCCGAACGACAUAGUCGAAACCGUCGUUACCAGUUGAACGCAUUGUUAAAUCACUUGUAUGCUUAUAAUUUAAACACAAUAUACUAUUACUUAUUUUAAUUCUAAA